GAGAGACAACAGAAGAGACUGUGUCUCAAAAGGCCAGAAGAAAGAGAGGCAUUCCCCAACCAAGACAGAUUCACAAGACAAUCCGGAGAGCAUGGAAAACAUCCUGAUAUCAGUAUCAGAUCCUGACAACACCCAAGGCACUGAGGGCCCAGGGCUGGUUGACUCUGUCUUCUUCACAGUGGCAACCUGUGGCAGUCUGAUUGGACAAGCUGUCUCCCUUCAGUCCAUCACCCAGUCUGAAAUGUACAACAGCCAAGAUUGAAGUUCAAGAAGUGGAGACAACUGCAGAUGUGAUGGUCAAGACUGAAGUCAAGGAAGUACUUGAACUCUUGAACCGUUCAAUCUAGAGACACCAAACCAACUUUCACAGGUUCAGGCUGUCCAAACUUCAAAUUCUUUAAAAACUUUUAUUAACUAAUAACUAUAUAAAUGUGCACACGUUUGCAUAACAUAACCUACCAACAGUAACUCUUAAACCGUUCCAGCUACAUACACCAAACCAACUUUCACAUGUUCAGGCUAUCCUAACUUCAAAUUCUUUAAAACUUUUAUCAAGUAUAACGAUCUAAAUUAGCAUAAAAUAACUAAUCAACAGUAACUCUUGAACUGUUCAAGCUAGAUACACCAUACCAACUUUCAUAUGUUCAGGCUAUUCUACAUUUUUCAACUAUAACCAGUCACCACCAUUACUACUGCAGACACUACCACUACU